GGAUUAGAUACCCUGGUAGUCCACGCCGUAAACGAUGAGUGCUAAGUGUUAGAGGGUUUCCGCCCUUUAGUGCUGAAGUUAACGCAUUAAGCACUCCGCCUGGGGAGUACGGCCGCAAGACUGAAACUCAAAGGAAUUGACGGGGGCCCGCACGAGCGGUGGAGCAUGUGGUUUAAUUCGAAGCAACGCGAAGAACCUUACCAGGUCUUGACAUCCUCUGACAACCCUAGAGAUAGGGCUUNUCCCUUCGGGNGACAGAGUGACAGGUGGUGCAUGGUUGUCGUCAGCUCGUGUCGUGAGAUGUUGGGUUAAGUCCCCGCAACGAGCGCAACCCUUGAUNCUUAGUUGCCAGCANUUUANGUUGGGCACUCUAAGGUGACUGCCGGUGACAAACCGGAGGAAGGUGGGGAUGACGUCAAAUCAUCAUGCCCCUUAUGACCUGGGCUACACACGUGCUACAAUGGCGCAUACAAGGAGAAGCGACCUCGCGAGAGCAAGCGGACCUCAUAAAGUGCGUCGUAGUCCGGAUUGGAGUCUGCAACUCGACUCCAUGAAGUCGGAAUCGCUAGUAAUCGUAGAUCAGAAUGCUACGGUGAAUACGUUCCCGGGCCUUGUACACACCGCCCGUCACACCAUGGGAGUGGGUUGCAAAAGAAGUAGGUAGCUUAACCUUCGGGAGGGCGCUUACCACUUUGUGAUUCAUGACUGGGGUGAAGUCGUAACAAGGUAACC
rnacentral:rRNA from 1 species